rnacentral:lncRNA from 1 species
UGCUUGAAGCCAAGAUAUACCAAAUCAUAUACAAACAAGAUACAUACUAUGAAAUAGAUCACAAAAACAGCCAUAUAUAUAUAUAUAUAUCCACAUCUCCAAUUUCAAAUCCAAAAAACUUAGGUACCUACCAACUACAAUCCAACUUUCUUCCAAUCAAGCAAAACAUAUUUAAAUCAAAACUUAUGAACAACUGCACGAUAUGCACGAAGAAUAUGGUGGGAGCACAAAAGCAUCUGCUACUUGUUUAGCGGACAAUGCUGGCAACUGUUGAGCAAGUUCUGCAGCCACUUCUUGUUUAACGGAGAAUGCGAGCUGCUUCUAGUUUUAUCUGCACAAAUUUGAUAAUAGGUUCUUAUAAGAAUAUGGGUUUAUAUAUGUCUCAUUUUUCAUAAGAUUCAUGAAUAAAUAACAUUAUAUUAAUAUAUAAUAAGGACAGAGAGAGAAAAGAGAAAUGGAACGAUAUCUUCAUCGACGUUUGCUUCAUCAAUCAUGGAACUAACUAGCAAAAUAUUGUAUGCCAGAAAGGGCAGUAAAAUAUGGCAAUUGCAUAAUCCUUAAUAUUGCAUUUAAUUUGCAUUUAAGCCUAAACUAAAAUAAACAUUGAAAUAUUACGAAAAAUAUGCCCACACAAAAUUAAAAAACUAAGGUUUGGAAACAAGCAUAAAACUAAAACACACAGACAAGCAUCAAGAACUAGUCCAAUAAAAAUGUAGGCAAGCCAUAUAUGGUGCAAAUCCGGAGAGUAAUUUUAAAUAGUGUCAACCAAAAAAUGUGUACGGUGUUGGGAAAAAAUAAACCAACCCUGUAGAUGAUAUAAUGAAAACUGGUGCUUUAGCAGCUUGACUAUGAAGCAAUUUUUGCGACUCCGGUACAAAACCUGAUGUCUGCAAACAUGAGAAGCAGGCUUCCUUAUAUUACCAAAUAUAUAUUUACAUGGAAACAACAAAGUAAAAUGUUUACCGAACACGCACUCUGCCUCCAGCAUUAAAAAUUUCAAUUUUCUUCCUGCCAAAAAAUGCAAAUUCAUAAAAAAAUUAUGAGAACCACCUCUGGAUAUAUCAACUUUGGGAAUGAUAUAGGGAUAUAGAGGUUGAAACUUAACACAAGUACGCAAUUGGACUCAACUGAGCAUAAACCAAACCAAACUAUAUUAACAAAUACCAAACCGUUUGAAAGAUCAUAAACCACACUAUAUUAACAAAUAGACUAAUAUAUCCACUAUACCUUUGAGAAACUAUUUGGAGGAAUUCGGAGAAGGCAAUCUUCUAAAGCUCUUACAUACACAGCAUCAGCAAGCAUUACAAAAAACAACAUACAGUUGAGAAGAUAACAAAACCCCUCUUAAAUAAAAAACAAAACCCCUGUUAAAUAAAAAACAGAGUACUUACACACAUCAACAAUUAAUUCAGCAAUAAUUUAAUAGAUUCCAAUACAAAUAAACAUUCAUCUCAAAAAUUGAACAAUAAGUCAGAAAUUCCUAACAUAUAUAUGUACAUAUAUUACAUAUCUAUACACAGAUUACAGCUAGUCUCUUCCGGCUAUAUAUAUCAGUAUCACGCACACACACAUUGCAGGAAGUCCCUCUCUCUCAUAGAAAACAAACCUUUUCAAGCCUCCAAACCUCCAGAUCUGUUCAAAAAUGAAAAAUCAAGAUAAAAAAUGAACCCAAAAUAUAGAGAUAAAACUCAAUCGAAAUAAACAAUGCAUGCAGGUUGAGAAAUUAGGGAUUCUCGAAGUACCGUGGUGCUAAUUGAAAUUAAUUCAAUUUGGGGCCGUUGGAACCCUAAUUGAAAUUGAACAAAGAGAGAUGUGAGAGAUGUGAUCGAGACAUCAGAUAGAUGUAGAGAUGUGAGAGAAGCGGCGGCGGCGGCGGCGGCAGCGAGGCAACGGAGAUGUCGGGAGUGAGGGAGUGAGGUGGGAUGUGUCGGGACUCGGGAGGGAGGGAGAGUGAGGGAAAGUCGGGAGGGAGGGGGAGAGAGGGAAAGAGGGGGCGGGGAAAUGAUUUUG